rfam:Triticum aestivum genome assembly, contig: Triticum_aestivum_CS42_TGACv1_scaffold_195214_3AL
GAGAGCACAGUACGAUGAAAGUUGUAAGCUGUGUUCGGGGGGGGGGGGAGUUAUUGUGUAUCGUUGGCCUCUAUGGUAGAACCCGUCGGGGAGGCAUGAGAGGCGGUGGUUUACCCUGU